rnacentral:rRNA from 1 species
GAUAAACGCUGGCGGCGUGCCUAAUACAUGCAAGUCGAGCGAACGGACGAGAAGCUUGCUUCUCUGAUGUUAGCGGCGGACGGGUGAGUAACACGUGGAUAACCUACCUAUAAGACUGGGAUAACUUCGGGAAACCGGAGCUAAUACCGGAUAAUAUUUUGAACCGCAUGGUUCAAAAGUGAAAGACGGUCUUGCUGUCACUUAUAGAUGGAUCCGCGCUGCAUUAGCUAGUUGGUAAGGUAACGGCUUACCAAGGCAACGAUGCAUAGCCGACCUGAGAGGGUGAUCGGCCACACUGGAACUGAGACACGGUCCGGACUCCUACGGGAGGCAGCAGUAGGGAAUCUUCCGCAAUGGGCGAAAGCCUGACGGAGCAACGCCGCGUGAGUGAUGAAGGUCUUCGGAUCGUAAAACUCUGUUAUUAGGGAAGAACAUAUGUGUAAGUAACUGUGCACAUCUUGACGGUACCUAAUCAGAAAGCCACGGCUAACUACGUGCCAGCAGCCGCGGUAAUACGUAGGUGGCAAGCGUUAUCCGGAAUUAUUGGGCGUAAAGCGCGCGUAGGCGGUUUUUUAAGUCUGAUGUGAAAGCCCACGGCUCAACCGUGGAGGGUCAUUGGAAACUGGAAAACUUGAGUGCAGAAGAGGAAAGUGGAAUUCCAUGUGUAGCGGUGAAAUGCGCAGAGAUAUGGAGGAACACCAGUGGCGAAGGCGACUUUCUGGUCUGUAACUGACGCUGAUGUGCGAAAGCGUGGGGAUCAAACAGGAUUAGAUACCCUGGUAGUCCACGCCGUAAACGAUGAGUGCUAAGUGUUAGGGGGUUUCCGCCCCUUAGUGCUGCAGCUAACGCAUUAAGCACUCCGCCUGGGGAGUACGACCGCAAGGUUGAAACUCAAAGGAAUUGACGGGGACCCGCACAAGCGGUGGAGCAUGUGGUUUAAUUCGAAGCAACGCGAAGAACCUUACCAAAUCUUGACAUCCUUUGACAACUCUAGAGAUAGAGCCUUCCCCUUCGGGGGACAAAGUGACAGGUGGUGCAUGGUUGUCGUCAGCUCGUGUCGUGAGAUGUUGGGUUAAGUCCCGCAACGAGCGCAACCCUUAAGCUUAGUUGCCAUCAUUAAGUUGGGCACUCUAAGUUGACUGCCGGUGACAAACCGGAGGAAGGUGGGGAUGACGUCAAAUCAUCAUGCCCCUUAUGAUUUGGGCUACACACGUGCUACAAUGGACAAUACAAAGGGCAGCGAAACCGCGAGGUCAAGCAAAUCCCAUAAAGUUGUUCUCAGUUCGGAUUGUAGUCUGCAACUCGACUACAUGAAGCUGGAAUCGCUAGUAAUCGUAGAUCAGCAUGCUACGGUGAAUACGUUCCCGGGUCU